rnacentral:rRNA from 1 species
GACGAACGCUGGCGGCGUGCCUAAUACAUGCAAGUCGAGCGAAUGGAAGGGAGCUUGCUCCCUGAAGUUAGCGGCGGACGGGUGAGUAACACGUGGGCAACCUGCCUGUAAGACUGGGAUAACUUCGGGAAACCGGAGCUAAUACCGGAUACGUUCUUUUCUCGCAUGAGGAAAGAUGGGAAGAUGGUUUCGGCUAUCACUUACAGAUGGGCCCGCGGCGCAUUAGCUAGUUGGUGGGGUAAUGGCCCACCAAGGCGACGAUGCGUAGCCGACCGGGGAGGGUGAUCGGCCAAACUGGGACUGAGACACGGCCCAGACUCCUACGGGAGGCAGCAGUAGGGAAUCUUCCGCAAUGGACGAAAGUCUGACGGAGCAACGCCGCGUGAGCGAAGAAGGCCUUCGGGUCGUAAAGCUCUGUUGUCAGGGAAGAACAAGUGCCAGAGUAACUGCUGGCACCUUGACGGUACCUGACCAGAAAGCCACGGCUAACUACGUGCCAGCCGCCGCCGUAA